UGUAAACAUCCCCGACUGGAAGCUGUACCAGUUCGAGCUUUCAGUCAGAUGUUUGCU
rfam:Apaloderma vittatum contig41729, whole genome shotgun sequence.